AGAGUUUGAUCCUGGCUCAGAGUGAACGCUGGCGGCAGGCCUAACGCAUGCAAGUCGAACGGCAGCACAGCAGUAGCAAUACUGUGGGUGGCGAGUGGCGGACGGGUGAGGAAUACAUCGGAAUCUACCUUGUCGUGGGGGAUAACGUAGGGAAACUUACGCUAAUACCGCAUACGACCUACGGGUGAAAGCGGAGGACCGCAAGGCUUCGCGCGAUAAGAUGAGCCGAUGUCGGAUUAGCUAGUUGGCGGGGUAAUGGCCCACCAAGGCGACGAUCCGUAGCUGGUCUGAGAGGAUGAUCAGCCACACUGGAACUGAGACACGGUCCAGACUCCUACGGGAGGCUGCAGUCGAGGAUAUUUAGCAAUGGACGAAAGUCUGACUAUGUGACGCCGCGUGAGGGAUGAAGGUCUUCGGAUUGUAAACCUCUUUCGAUAGGGAAGAAAACCUGUUCUUAACGGAACAGACUGACGGUACCUAGAGAAGAAGCCACGGCCAACUCUGUGCCAGCAGCCGCGGUAAUACAGAGGUGGCGAGCGUUACUCGGAUUUAUUGGGUGUAAAGGGCAAGUAGGCGUCUUGACAAGUUAGGAGUGAAAUCCUGCAGCUCAACUGCAGAACUGCUUUUAAAACUGUCGAGAUUGAGACUGGGAGAGGAAAGCGGAAUUCUCGGUGUAAGAGUGAAAUCUGUAGAUAUCGAGAGGAACACCAGUGGCGAAGGCGGCUUUCUGGUCCAGUACUGACGCUGAAUUGCGAAAGCUAGGGGAGCAAACAGGAUUAGAUACCCUGGUAGUCC
rnacentral:rRNA from 1 species